rnacentral:rRNA from 1 species
UACGUAGGGGGCGAGCGUUGUCCGGAUUUAUUGGGCGUAAAGAGCUCGUAGGCGGUUUGGCAAGUCGGGUGUGAAAACUCCGGGCUCAACUCGGAGACGCCACUCGAUACUGCUAUGACUCGAGUCCGGUAGGGGAGUGCGGAAUUCCCGGUGUAGCGGUGAAAUGCGUAGAGAUCGGGAGGAACACCAGUGGCGAAGGCGGCACCCUGGACCAGCACUGACACUGAGGCACGAAAGCGUGGGGAGCAAACAGG